UUUCUCUCUCAUUAAUUUCACUAUUCAAUUCUUCUUCAUCUUUCAACUCUCGCUUCUCUUUUUUCGUUCUUUUUCUUCAGAAAUUGGAAAAUAUUUAUAAAGAUAUUCACAACAAUCUCUUUGAUUAAGGAUUUGAAAACAAUCACUCUAUAAUGGUCGAAUCUAAGAGGAUUACAAGAGGACCCACUGCUAAAAUAACGGAAGAGAGACGAUCAAA